rfam:Microbotryum lychnidis-dioicae p1A1 Lamole unplaced genomic scaffold supercont1.46, whole genome shotgun sequence.
GGCCGGAUAGCUUAGUGGUCAAAGCUUUUCCGAUUAAUGGAAGCGACCCAGGUUCGACUCCUGGCCCAGCCG